UGGUAGGUAGCUCAGUCGGGUAAGAGCCCGCUUCUCAGGCAAGAGAUUCGGGUUCGAAUCCCGGCGUUGACAG
rnacentral:tRNA from 1 species